rnacentral:tRNA from 1 species
AGUAGAGUCAGCUAAACAAGCUUUCGGGCCCAUACCCCGAACAUGUUGGUUAAAACCCUUCCUCUACUA